CCCCAGGCCUCGUCUGGGGAACAUCAAUUUUAACUUUUCGGAAAACAAAAAACAAAAAAAACAAAACAAACGGACUAUUCAAAAAAAAAAAAAAAAUACAAAUACAAAAAUAAAAUAAAUAAUACUCAAACAAGAAACAAAAUUUGAAAGUGUUGCGAUUAACGGUAAACGGUCAUCGGUCAAAUGACUCAACGGUUAAUCGGUAAAACGGUUCUACGCGAUCUGUCUGUCCCGGGGUAGCGAAAUGCAUUCUCGCAUUUCGAUUCGCAUGUAACACGACAAAGAGACACGAAGCAACUUGCAGUAAACACACCUGACAGACUGAGCUGGUUCGCUCAAUUAGAACCAUUUAUUAUCCGGGCAGGAUGGCACCGGCCCAAUGCAAAUGAGAUAGCAUCCUGCCAAAGCUCUGAAGGAAACGGACCUGCUGGGUGCGGGG